rnacentral:lncRNA from 1 species
CCCGAUUCGACUGGGUGGGGGAACUGUCCUUGUGCCCUUUGGCGGUGUACUUGACCCUGGUUGGUCCUGUGGGUCGCACUGGAUGGGAGUGUCUGCUAGAUGACUGAAUGUAAUGUAAAUGUUCGGGUUAGCAGGUUAAUGAAUAAAUGUGGGUAUUGCUUCAAUAGGGUUAGCAGGUUAAUAGAUUAAUGUGGGUAUUUCUUCAAUAGGGUUAGCAGGUUAAUAGAUUCAUGUGGGUAUUGCUUCAAUAGGGUUAGCAGGUUAAUAGAUUAAUGUGGGUAUUGCUUCAAUAGGGUUAGCAGGUUAAUAGAUUAAUGUGGGUAUUGCUUCAAUAGGGUAAGCAGGUUAAUGAAUAAAUGUGGGUAUUGCUUCAAUAGGGUUAGCAGGUUAAUAGAUGUGGGUAUUGCUUCAAUAGGGUUAGCAGGUUAAUAGAUUAAUGUGGGUAUUGCUUCAAUAGGGUUAGCAGGU